AAGCAGAGGUUAUCAGAAACAUCACAACCUGGAGAAAAAGUUUCCACAAGCCAGGGUCUAAAAAUACCACGAUUUCCCUGGGCCUGCCUGUCCCACACUUGUUCAGCAAGUCUGACAGGGUGUCAGGGAGCUGGUGUCAGUACCCGUCUGCUGCUGCCAUUAAGAAGAGGCUGGAGGAGGUAAAAAGAAAGGAAGAUGUCACUCAACUUGCUUGAUGGGCAUCCUGCUGGAGAGAGUCUAUCCCAGCCAAGUGUCCAAAGGCAGGAGGACUCACGGUCAGAUGCUUGCAUGGAGUCAGCCUGGAUUUUCCUGGGAGAAAGUGACUUUGGCCACCAAAGAAAACAGUCCCAGUGUGGCCUUUUCGGAACCCACCUGCCCUCAUAAUGCCAAGGGCUCAGGUAGAAACAUUUCCAUCAUUCGUCCCAGGUGCCCCACACUCAAGAGGGCUCAGUUCUGCUCACAAGACAGGGUGGCUGAGAAGCGGACAUCUUUGGGAAGGGGGCAUGGUCCUUAAUUUGCAAAGUCACCAGAUGGAGAAGGCAGGAAAGCCAUUGCUGGUAAAGCUAAUACCCACCUCACCCCACCCCCAGCUGGGAACGAUAGUGACCUAAUGCAGUCAAGCUACAGCAAGCUACAGUGUUGCUUUUUCAGUCACUUGUUGCGUGUACUCUCAAGUUGUGUUCAACUCCCUGCGACCCCGUGGACUGUAGCCCGCCAGGCUCCUCUGUCCAUGGAAUUGUCCAGGCAAGAAUACUGGAGUCUAUUGCCAUUUCCUUCUCCAUUUUCAGUCACUGGGGCUCCUCUAAUAUCGGAGGAGCUGAAGUAUGCAAGGGUCUUGAUGGCACAGUGAUGAGGCUGGUAGGACCUUAGGGAUCUCCUAGUCCUUGCGUACAUUGAAUAUUGGAAACAUUUGCCUAUAGAGCCACCUGGUGCAGCAAUUGUAGCAAAUGUACACAUCUCUGGUCUUAUCUGUGUAGCCAACAACUGAAUGCCUCCUGGAGUGGCCGCUGGACCAGCCACAUAGCUGAGGACUGAAGGAUUCAAGCACACGCCGGGCCCUUGGAGUCUGGCCGUCAUUUGUCUAUGCAGCAUGCAUGCGGAUCAGCAUGGUGUUCACUCCUGUUCAUCUCGGCAUCCUAGUUCAGCUGCGUCCUGAGCAACGUCAUCACCCAGCACCUUGAACCUCUGAACCCAGUGCACGUGCUCUGGCCCCAGCCUCCUAACUUCCUGUCCUGCUGAACUGGAUCCCUGGAUAAAGCACAGAAUUCUGCUUCUAAGUCCCAGGUCUUGGCACGGCUUCCUAACCAGGAGCCUCACUCCACCUCUGUUCUCCACACCUGAGCAGGCAACAAACCCGGCCAAACCCCAGUUGAGAUGAGCCCUGGUAUUGGAGUCAGGAAACUGGUGGGGCCAGGGGCACAUCAUAGCCUUUGAGGGCCUCCGUUUCCCCAUCUGUACCUGGGCGAAUACAAGUUCCUCCUUCUCAGGGUGUGUGUGGGAAUUAAACUGGACAUCUGCGGAAGCACUUUGUAAACAGCACGCAGGGAGGUAGUUGUCACUUGGGAAGCGUACGCCCCCCUAAUGGAUGCUGAAGAGGCACCAUCCCCUCAGACUGACGUGUUAGUCAGGGUUCUGCAGAGUAGAACCAAUUCAAUGUGUAGCUCAUUCUGAAGGCCAGCAGGCUCGUGGCCCAAGUGGAGCCAAUUAUUUAGUUCUGGUCUAAAGGCAGGAGAAAUCAGAGCCCCAGCUCAAGCUGUCAGGCAGGAGGAGUCUUCUCUUUCUCAGCCUUUUUUUGAUUGGUCCUCAAUGGAUUGGAUUGGAUGAUCCCCACCCACACUGGAGAAGGAAAGCUGCUUUACUCAGUCUACAGAUGCAAACGCUAGUCUCAUACAGAAACACCCUCACAGACACUCCCAGAAUCAUGUGUGAGCCCAGGUCUGGGCACUCGGGCCUAGUCAAGUUGACACAUAAAAGUAACCAGCAUGACAGGGGACAUUGAAUUUCCAAGGAUGACAAACGAAUGGGGCCAAGACAGUAAAGGAAGAGUGAGGUCAAAGAUGCCGCAGACACGUCUAUAGCGGUGUUGGUAUGAAACUGUAUGUCAAGUUCAAGUUGGAUCAGACCAGUCAUUUAUUUUCUGAGAAGCAAUCACAAGCAAGACUCUGGCCUGCCCACCAGAAGCCCAGCUCUCUCUGGAGAGAGAUAAAGGUCUUGGUGUCCCUAAAGGGUCAAAGUUCUAUGUGUAUCAAGAGUCUUAUAUCUCCUGUGUGGUAAAAUGUUGACUGUUUUCAAUUAAACUCUUGAUUUGAUCUCUAGCAACUUCAACUGGCCUACCCAGCCAUGGAGCAUCAUCCAGUGAGAAUUUUCAAGAUGAAACUUCAGAAACUUUUGACUUUGAAGCAUUGAUUCAGUCACAGCACCUUCUCCAUACACUGCACAAACCUCUUCUUAUUCUUUUUGUGUGUGUUGCAGUUGCAUUUUUACCUUUCUUUAAAUAAUAAAGCAUAAUAUAUGACAAAAAAUGUUGCUUCUUUCUUCCAUCUUAUUAAAAUGGCUACACAAACAUUUUUAAAAAAGAGUCUGCCCAAGAGCAAUUUGAUAAUGUGACCUUGGAGCUCUCCUUGGGUCUCAAAGUCCCCACCUGAUAAAGAAGACUCCGCACCAGAUAAGGACAAGCAGUAUCAUUGUGAACUGAAGGUCCAAGAAACUGUAGUCAGUCCCUGAUGUCUCUGAGCCUCGGUUCCCUGGUGGGUGAGUGAAUUGACAGUCAUCAUUGUCAUCACUGCUUAUUGUGAGUAUUCAUGAGACGGUGUCAUGAAGACACUUGGCCCAGGGGGCAUGCGUCCAAAGGAACUUCACAAGUGCCACUUAUUCAUGAGUUUGAACACUCAUUAAACAUGCAUUGCCAAAGGGAUUUCUAUGAGCAGGGGCUGUGCUAGGAGCUUUAGAAGUAACAGCAAAUAAAGAGUCAAGGUCUCUCCCUUGAUGAGAACUCCUGGUGAUGAUGCAGAACCAGCUAUGUCAACACUCAACAGCUAUGCCAUAUGGUUAAUAAUAUGGGAGGUCCUUGGAGCCACGUGGAGAUGGAAGAAGUAAGGAACCAAGAGGAACACCUCCCAGUCCACACAUCACAAUCCACUCCAGAUGGACCACAGAGGAAGACAAGACUGUAAGCCUCCGAGAGGAAAAUCACUUGACCCAAAAUACCAAGUAGUGUUGGUCAGGAUCAAGUCCACAGCCUGGAUCCUGACUUGUCAUCUUGGGGUCCCUGGAGCAGUAUUAUCAGCGUCACCCCAGAGCUUGUAAGAGAUGCAGAGUCCACACCCAAGACCCCCGAGUGACAUGUGUGCUCAUGAAGGGGCCAGCGGUGACUUGGGCAUGGCUACCUUGGGGGUUGUAACUCGUGAGGCACGUGCGGGGGACCAGGAGCUUUACAGCUUUUACAAGAUGCUUCACGUGCUUUAUCUCAUUUAGCAUUCGCAAGUGUUGAAUACAAAGCAGGUACUUUAGUCCCAUUUUGCUGAUGGAGAAAGGGGAAUAUACUUGACCAAAGUCACACAGAUAAUAGAUGAGAUUUCAACCUAGCUUUGUCUAAUGGCUAAAAGUGAGCUUACAGCUAUUAGAGCCAAUAUUAUCUCUAAUGCCAGUGACUUUUUUUUAAGUUAAUUUUUGCUGGAGUGUAGUUGAUAAGCAAUGUUGUGUUAGUUUCUGCUGUAGAGCAAAGUGAAUCAGUUACAUAUACAUAUAUACAUCCUUUUUUAGAUGUUAAUCCCAUAUAGGUCAUUACAGAAUAUUGACUAGAGUUUCCUGUGCCAUACAGUGAUUUCUCUUAUUAAUCGUUACUUACUUUAUAUAUAGUAAUGUACAUAUGUCAACCCCAAUCUCCCAAUGUAUCCCUUUCACCCACUCUUUCCCACCUGGCAACCUUAAGUUUGUUUCUACAUCUGUGACUCUAUUUCUGUUGUGUAAAUAGGCUCAUUUGUACCAUUUUUUAGAUUUCACAUAUCAAUAAUAGCAUAUGAUAUUUGUCUUUCUCUGUUGAUUUACUUCACUCACUAUGACAAACUCUAGGCCCAUCCACAUUGCUGCAAAUGGCAUGUUUUAUUAUUUUUUAUGGCUGAUAGUGUUCUGUUGUAUAUAUGUACCACAUCUUCUUUAUUCAUUCUUUCAGCAAUAGACAUUUAGGUUGCUUCAGUGGCCUGGCUAUUGUAAAUACCAAGUUUUUAACCACAGGUAGAACCAAAGAUGUCUUCAGUAUCUUUCUAAAUAUAUUACAUUCCUUCCCUCUUAAAUUAAGUAGCUGAAACUUAAUGUCACUUUUUUCAAAAUUAUAAAUGUCAUAAUGAAUGUCUAUUAUUUUAGAAUACAAGGAGAUCCUAAGGAAGUAUGCAGAGCUGUUUUUCCCUUUACUGAAUUAACACAGUCUCCUGGAUUAUUAAAUAAACUUUUCAUUUUAGAAUAUUUUUACAUGUAUAGGAAAAUUGCAAUGACAGUACAGGACUUCCCAUAUACCCUGUACCAAGGUUCCCCUGUUAUUCAUAUCUUAUACGAG
ensembl:lncRNA